rnacentral:rRNA from 1 species
GAUGAACGCUGGCGGCGUGCCUAAUACAUGCAAGUCGAGCGAACAGACGAGGAGCUUGCUCCUCUGACGUUAGCGGCGGACGGGUGAGUAACACGUGGAUAACCUACCUAUAAGACUGGGAUAACUUCGGGAAACCGGAGCUAAUACCGGAUAAUAUAUUGAACCGCAUGGUUCAAUAGUGAAAGACGGUUUUGCUGUCACUUAUAGAUGGAUCCGCGCCCAUUAGCUAGUUGGUAAGGUAACGGCUUACCAAGGCAACGAUGCGUAGCCGACCUGAGAGGGUGAUCGGCCACACUGGAACUGAGACACGGUCCAGACUCCUACGGGAGGCAGCAGUAGGGAAUCUUCCGCAAUGGGCGAAAGCCUGACGGAGCAACGCCGCGUGAGUGAUGAAGGUCUUCGGAUCGUAAAACUCUGUUAUUAGGGAAGAACAAAUGUGUAAGUAACUAUGCACGUCUUGACGGUACCUAAUCAGAAAGCCACGGCUAACUACGUG